rnacentral:rRNA from 1 species
UACGUAGGAGGCAAGCGUUGUCCGGAAUUACUGGGUGUAAAGGGAGCGCAGGCGGGAUGGCAAGUUGGAUGUGAAAUACCGCAGCUUAACUGCGGAGCUGCAUCCAAAACUGUCGUUCUUGAGUGGAGUAGAGGCAGGCGGAAUUCCGAGUGUAGCGGUGAAAUGCGUAGAUAUUCGGAGGAACACCAGUGGUGAAGGCGGCCUGCUGGGCUCUUACUGACGCUGAGGCUCGAAAGUGUGGGGAGCAAAC